rnacentral:rRNA from 1 species
UAAAUUGAGAGUUUGAUCCUGGCUCAGGAUGAACGCUGGCGGCGUGCUUAACACAUGCAAGUCGAGCGA